GUUCCUGGCGGAUGUCACUGCAACAGAUCGAAAACAAACACUGCUUUAUCUGGACCGAUGUCCAUGAAAAGUUGGGAGCGUGUGAGGGAGAUAAGAUGGAGGCGCAGGAGUGUGGCGUUCUGGAGUGCUAGCUGGAUGUCAUGGCAGAUGACAAAUCAGACGCGUCAUGGGAGAUGACAAGUCAGACACCUCCAGUAUAUGGCCCAGAGACGAGCUAGAGUUUGUCAGUGAGUUUCCUCUGGGUCCUCAACGCCAGCCCCAGGAUUCAGCAGCUAGUCGGGAGAGAGAUGAGGCAGUGUCUGCAGCUGUAUCUGUGGUGGUAGCCAGUGCUAGGCAAGGAGUGGUUGCUUUGUGUGCUAGUGUGGCUCAUGUCAUCCGACAGAAGAUGAGACUGCAGCAAAAUGUAGCAGAGUUAGAAAAGAAAAUAGCAGCAUUUGAGAAGAGCAGCAGCACUGACAUGUGUGUAACAUGUCAUUGUGCCUCCCGUGGACAAGCUGUAGACACACACAGUUUGGUUGAGUCCCCUUCAUCUCAGAGGUGUGGGUCAGCUCCACCAAGCUUUAUAGGAAGUUCACUCAAGCUCUCUAGAGGGGAAAAUAAAAAUAUUAAUGGAUGUUGCCAGAUUAAUAAUACAAGAAGUGUUGUUUUAGGGGAUAAGUGUGAGAGUUGUCGGCAAAUGCAACGCCCAGAGAGAAGAACGUCAAGUGCAACUAUUCCUGACAGUCAUUUGCCUACUGUCUUAAAACCUGGUGAGAAGAAAACGGCAUUCCUACGGGGUCAGGGUUAUGCUUCUUCACGUAGUCUCAACAUUGGUCGAAGUCCUCCCUCUUCAAGUUUUAUGAGAAAAAAAUAUAGUACCAUCAGCUUACGACGUGUCCGACGCUCGGCCCUGAAUAAACAGGGGGUGUCAGUGGGAACAUGGAGCAGCUGUAGUAGUCACAGAAGCAGUGUAAACAGCCUAGAAUGUCGUGGUUCCACUAGCAGAACCAGCAGUAGGUCCUGUAUAGUGACUGUUGCCGAGGUGUACUCUUCACCAACACCAUGCCUUACAGCUGCAAAUACAGAGAGUGAUGCAAUAAGACUACUAGCACGGAAACUGACAAAUGUUUUACAAGCAAGUGAAGCUCAACUGGAGGAUAGUCUGCCUGAAUCCUCUCCAAGUGAUUCUUGCAAUAGGGAUACUGUAACAUCCCUAAUGCCAGAAGCUACAUCAUAUGAGCAUUUGUAUGCUCCACAUCCCCUUGCUGGCUGUGAAUGUGUAGUUUGUACACAUUUGGCUGCGGAUCCUGACACACAUCUCUACAUUCUUACCACAAAUGAAGGAUUGCUACUGCCUCAAGGUAGUAAAGUGUUGGUUCAAGGUGAUCGCAUUGGGACUGUUAUAUACUUUGGACAUUGUAAAUAUCCAUCAAGGAGUUCAAGCCUCACUCAGCACCAUCUGCAAGGAUCACCCAUUACCAGCAUAAAUGAAACAGUUAUCACUGAAGUUGCAGACGAGGGUUCCAAAGGGGACAUUGAUGAAACGUGGGGUGUGUGUGAUGGUACUACUGGCAGUCUUCUUGGAGUAACUGUUGCACUCUGGCCACCAGAUCAAGGGGAAAUAUUUGUUCCUCUGAGUGAUGUUGUCUGCCAGUUGGAUGAUGAAGCUGACAUGUACAGUAAAGACCAUAUUCUUGGUCUUGACUUAGAGUAUGUGGAUGAUGUAAGGCACUUAGCAGGACCGAGAAUAUCUGUUCUCCCUGAUAUUCAUGAUUGUCCCAGAGAGAUGACAACAAAUGAACAAGUCACUCAGUUACCAAGUGUGCAGCAGCCAAGCUCACCUCUACCUUCUGAAGUGUCUGAAGGUAAUUGUGAAGACAAAAGCAGGCCAGCAACACCAGAGUGGAGCAGAAUUCCUGAAGAGUUGUUAAUACAUAGCCCAAGUGUUUCAUCCUACAAUUCCGACUAUGUCUGCAGUGUUCAAGAGAGUGAAGAUGAAGAUGUUACACCUAGUAGAAAAAAUAGUAUCCAGGUUCCCGAACAAGAACUCAAAUCCCACGGUGGCUCUUUACAGUCAAAUAAGAACUUUCAUUUCUCAUCUUCGACUGAUUUUGAAAAUAUAAUUCCAGUACUAACAAGCUUUAAAACCACUUGUCUUGAUACAACAUUCCUUAAUCAAAUUAGGAAUGAGGAAGAUAUUUACAGUAAAACAAAAGACAGUGAAUAUAAAGUUUCUCUACAUGACACUUCAGACUCUGCAAUUAGUCUAACUUUUACACGAAGACCCCAGAGCUCUGAGGAAAGCAGUGAGCCCUUAAGCCUUCCUGACCCAGACAGAGACUCUCUUCACUUGGGAGACACCUGGGAUUCAGGAUGUUGCAUGGGAAGAGGAGGGUACAUAAGUGAGUCACCUGAACACUUUUCUGAUAAUGAGUAUGAAAAUAAUAAUUUAGGAUCUCCAUGGGCCCGUAAUCUGAGUGAGGCGCUUGAGUCAAUUUGGGAGAAACAUAGAAAUCUCGAUAAUUUUAGUCUCGAUGGAAGCUGUAAUGCAAAGAAAAUGGACAAACCAAGAAGAGAAGCCCAACAGAGAGAUUACAGUAAUCAUCUUCACUAUCUUCUCAAAAAUUCAUCAAUAGCUUGUCAAUUUGAUUCCAGGCAGGGGUGACAGAUUUGAGUUGCCGAAAGUCACGAGAUGAAGAACUAAAUGUCACAAACUUUACAAUAAAAUUUGUCAGAACAUACAGAAGUUUGAAUAUAAAAACUGGAGAAUAUGUUAGACUGCAAGCAACAGCAGGUUCAGGCUGUCAUCAGUUUAACUGAUGCAGACAGGAUUUUAUUUAAACUAGAAUAUUGUAAACGUUUUUAACCCUUUUCAAAAGCUUUGACUUUCUGAAUCUUUAUAUUUCUUGUAUUGAAAACAAAAAGCUAACAUAUCUGUAGUGUUCCUACAUUAUAACAAAAUAUAUUUUUAGUGUUUGUAAGCAUCAGAAAUAAAUAAUUUUAUAUAUGGAAUAAGUAGCAUGAAAUGCUUUAAUUUAUUUUUAAUUUCUGUUUUGCUCUCGUGCAUAAACAUUGCAAUUUUCCCGGUGAAUUCUGAGGUACUGUAUAUAAAAUAAAACUUCAUUUUAUUACUGAAUUAUAGUAAAUGUUCUUCUCUAAUUCAUUUAAGUUUGCAGGAUUUGUUUUUCAAUUUCUGGGAAUUUAUUUGGCCCUGUAUCUUUGCUGAGUGAUUUUAGCUUAACCCUUAAACUGCUAAGUUAUCUAAAGUCCUACAUCUUGAUAAGCAUUGGAUAAAAGAAGUAUUGAAAACUUUUGAAAAUCAGUUGAAACUGGUAAUUUGAUUACACGAGGAAGUGGUAGGUAGUAUUUGGAGCAGUGUAAGAGUUAAGUGGCCACUGUCUUUCUUUAGUAUACAAGUUGAAUAUAUAAGUUUACCUAAGUUUUAAUUUUAAUACUGUUUUCUUGGCAGAGUCUUUGCAUCUUUUUUUCUCUUUUGACAUGUUUAUUUACUCAACUAUAAGGAACCCAACUUAGGCUGAACUAGGUAGAUUUGUAUAACCCAAGGAGUAAAAACUGGAUUUAUUUAUUACUAGCAUUGAACUAGUUUGUGCUGAAUUGUGGAUGAAACGUUAUUAUUUCUGGUCUUCACAUACAGAAAACAUUGGCAUCUCUAUAGAAGUAAGAGCAAUGUCAGUCAAGGUGUGGCAAUUUCAGCAUGUUCAUUGGCAAGAGCAAGGAUGGAGGCUGGCUGUUUUACUUGGUAUUGCAGCUCAUCAUUAAUGAUCCUUUGAGGGAAUAAUCUUAUUCUUUAAAGAGCUUGGGUGCUUUAGCAAGUUGUGGGAUGGAAUAACUAUUUAUUCUAGAUUUUGAAUUAUUUUUAAAAUAUAUUUAGCUUUAUGAUAUGCUGUUAGCAAAGCAUUUCUUAAUGGUUUUGAUCAUAUAAGUACUGUAAAUUUAAAAAAUUCAGUAUCUUUCAAUAGGUGUUUGUUUAUGUUAGAAUUAUCCCAUUAUUAAAAGUGCCCACAACAUUUAUAUCAAUUUUGUUACAUUAAUUCAGAGUGAUGUGUGAAGGUGAAAAAAAGUUGUUAAUCUUAAGAAAUGUUUUCCAAAAUGAGUCACCCAGAAAGACACACUAAUAGUUCCCCCAUAACCUUGUUUUCCGGAUUUCUAGGAUGUCGCAGUGCUGAAGUAAUGGUAGCAAGAGUUAUCAAAACUCUGUUUCAUUGUAUGCAUGGUAGUGGGUUUCAGUCUUUCCUCUGGUAAUGAGACAUCUAUAUUUGGUUUUUUAUUCUUUCAUUUAAAAGUUUCUAGGCCAAGUUGUGUGCUUUCAAGAAAAUAUUCGAGUUGAGGCACCCUCUCUCGCUGAACAGAGCAGUUUAAUUUAAAAAGAAUUCUUUAUUUAAAAAAUGCCUGGUAUACAAAUUAUUUUUACAUUUUAUCUGGUAGUGAGAUAUUUGAAAGACAUCAUUCAGUGUUUUCCAGAUACAUUAGUAAACAAAAAUUCAGAGUACUAUAGGCACUUUUUCGGUAUGCAAAGUGUGUUAAAAAUGCAUGUGCCAUGUGCACUAACUGGUAUUCAAACAAUUCUAGUCAUGCCUAAUACUCUGCUUCCAUUAAUUCUUAAAGUCAACCUACUGUAUUUAAUUAUCCUAAGUCUAGAUUUUCAUAAUUUCUUCAGACUAUCAUGUCGAGUUAUAUAUGACAUCAUUAUGGAAUACUAAGUGAUUAUUUCUGUAAUUAUUUGGAUAAGAUUAUAUUUAAUAUCUAUAUUGCACUGAAUCUUAGUUUAUUAUCCAUGUCGUAUAAAAAUCCUAAGCAAUUCUAUUAAAAAAAACUACAUUUUCAAAUUUAAUGUUUUUUAAGGUAUCUUUCGCAGAUUAUUCUUUUAUGACUUGCUUCCUACUUCAAGCUUAAUGUUGCUUUAGCCAGAUAUGCAUGUAGAGUUAUUUUCAAAAAUUUCAGGUACGCCUUUAUUUCUUCGGAACACAUGAUGGUAUUUAUAAUGCAUUCAUGAUGAAGGUUCUCUAUAAGUUGGUACCCCAUAUAAAAUUGAGUUAUCAUAAAUAUACAUAAAAAUACUGUAUAGAGAAAAUUAUUAUUAUGAUUUAAUUUUUCAAGAAGUUAUG